rnacentral:lncRNA from 1 species
AUGAUAUUUUGCCACUAUAUAGCUCAGACGCUGUACGGACCCUGCCAACAGUUUACUCAGUGGCUUCAGUUUCCUGUCCUUGCUGGCCUCCUCACUCAAGUCUGCCUUGAAUUCUUCCCUCUGAUCCCAGUAUUCUGCCACCUUUCCAAACCUUUGAUGUGA